CGAUUUUCCAGGGUAGCGCGCGAGACUUCUAAUCUCGAGGCUGUGGGUUCGAGUCCCACGUCGA